UUCUCGUUAGCUGAGUUGGUAGAGCACUCUACUGGAAAUGGAGAGGUGCCUGGUUCGGCACCAGGACCAGGCA
rnacentral:tRNA from 2 species